GCCUAGCCCUAAACAUAAGCAGUCCAAUACCCCACUGCUCGCCAGGGAACUACAAGCCCCAGCUUAAAACCCAAAGGACUUGGCGGUGCUUUAGACCCCCCUAGAGGAGCCUGUUCUAGAAUCGAUAAUCCCCGUUCCACCUCACCCUCCCUUGUCCUUUCCGCCUAUAUACCGCCGUCGCCAGCUUACCCUAUGAAGGUUAAAUAGUAAGCAAAAUUGGCACAACCCCAGUACGUCAGGUCAAGGUGUAGCUUACGGGAGGGGAAGCAAUGGGCUACAUUUACUGCCCCAGUAAAUACGGAUUUUGCUCUGAAAAGAGCACCUGAAGGAGGAUUUAGCAGUAAGAGAGGAGUACGAGCGCCUCUCUGAAACCGGCCCUAAAGCGUGCACACACCGCCCGUCACUCUCCCCAACGGCUAACCCCCAAUAAUAACUAAUAUAUUUCCGCCACAAAGGGGAGGCAAGUCGUAACAUGGUAAGCGUACCGGAAGGUGCGCUUGGAAAAA
rnacentral:rRNA from 1 species